rnacentral:rRNA from 1 species
UACAGAGGUCCCGAGCGUUGUUCGGAUUCACUGGGCGUAAAGGGUGCGUAGGUGGCAUGAUAAGUUUGGAUGUGAAAUCUCCGGGCCUCAACCCGGAAAAUGCAUUGAAUACUAUCAGGGCUGGAGGUUUGGAGGGGGGACUGGAAUCGUCGGUGUAGCAGUGAAAUGCGUAGAUAUCGAGAGGAACACCAGUGGGCGAAGGCGAGUCCCUGGACAACACCGUGACACUGAGGCACGAAAGCUAGGGGAGCAAACAGG